CAGCAGCCGCGGUAAUACGAAGGGGGCUAGCGUUGUUCGGAUUUACUGGGCGUAAAGCGCACGUAGGCGGAUCGAUCAGUCAGGGGUGAAAUCCCAGAGCUCAACUCUGGAACUGCCUUUGAUACUGUCGAUCUGGAGUAUGGAAGAGGUGAGUGGAAUUCCGAGUGUAGAGGUGAGAUUCGUAGAUAUUCGGAGGAACACCAGUGGCGAAGGCGGCUCACUGGUCCAUUACUGACGCUGAGGUGCGAAAGCGUGGGGAGCAAACAGGAUUAGAUACCCCAGUAGUCCCUGUCUCUUAUAC
rnacentral:rRNA from 1 species